rnacentral:rRNA from 1 species
CAGUUAUCGUUUAUUUGAUAGUCCCUAUUACCUGGAUAUCUGUGGUAAUUCUAGAGCUAAUACAUGCUGAAAACUCCGACUUCGGAAGGAGUGUAUUUAUUAGAUUAAAAACCAAUGCCCUCCGGGGCUCGCUGGUGAAUCAUAAUAACUCAACGAAUCGCAUGACCUUGCGUCGGCGAUAGUUCAUUCAAAUUUCUGCCCUAUCAACUUUCGAUGGUUGUAUCGAGGACAACCAUGGUUUCGACGGGUAACGGGGAAUUAGGGUUUGACUCCGGAGAGGGAGCCUGAGAAACGGGCUACCACAUCUAAUGAAGGCAGCAGGCGCGCAAAUUACCCAAUAGCAACACGCUGAGGUAGUGACAAUAAAUACUGAUCAAGGGCUCAUUUGGGCCUUUGAAUCGGAAUGAGUACAAUCCAAAUCACUUAACGAGGAACAAUUAGAGGGCAAGUCUGGUGCCAGCAGCCGCGGUAAUUCCAGCUCUAAUAGCGUAUAUUAAAGUUGUUGCGGUUAAAAAGCUCGUAGUUGAACCUUGGGUCUGGCUGUCCGGUCCGCCUCACCGCGUGCACUGGCUCGGCCGGGCCUUUCCUUCUGGGGAGCCGCAUGCCCUUCACUGGGCGUGUUGGGGAACCAGGACUUUUACUUUGAAAAAAUUAGAGUGUUCAAAGCAGGCCUAUGCUCGAAUACAUUAGCAUGGAAUAAUAGAAUAGGACGUGCGUCCUCAUUUUGUUGGUUUCUGGGGGCGUCGUAAUGAUUAAAAGGAGCGGUUGGGGGCAUCGGUAUUCCAUUGUCAGAGGUGAAAUUCUUGGAUUUGUGGAAGACCAACUACUGCGAAAGCAUUUGCCAAAGACGCUUUCAUUAAUCAGUGAACGAAAGUUGGGGGCUCGAAGACGAUCAGAUACCGUCGUAGUCUCAACCGUAAACUAUGUCGGCUCAGAAUCGGAUGGUGUUAUAAUUUUGACCCAUUCGGCGCUGUAGGAGAAAUCAAAGCGUUUGGACUCCGGGGGGAUUAUGGUCGCAAGGCUGAAACUUAAAGAAAUUGACGGAAAGGCACCACCAGGCGUGGAGCCUGCGGCUUAAUUUGACUCAACACGGGGAAACUCACCAGGUCCAGACACGAAAAGGAUUGACAGAUUGAGAGCUCUUUCUCGAUAUCGUGGGUGGUGGUGCAUGGUAAGUUCUUUCCCCCCCCCAUCCCCUGUUCUCGUCCGGACCCUUCUAACUCGAUCGUACAGGCCGUU